GUGGGGAAUAUUGCACAAUGGGCGAAAGCCUGAUGCAGCAACGCCGCGUGAAGGAAGAAGGCCCUUGGGUCGUAAACUUCUGUUCUAAGGGAAGAUAAUGACGGUACCUUAGGAGCAAGUCCCGGCUAACUACGUGCCAGCAGCCGCGGUAAUACGUAGGGGGCGAGCGUUAUCCGGAAUUAUUGGGCGUAAAGAGUACGUAGGUGGUUAUCUAAGCGAGGGGUGUAAGGCAAUAGCUCAACUAUUGUUUGCCCCGCGAACUGGGUGACUUGAGUGCUGGAGAGGAAAGCGGAAUUCCUAGUGUAGCGGUGACAUGCGUAGAUAUUAGGAGGAACAUCAGUGGCGAAGGCGGCUUUCUGGACAGUAACUGACACUGAGGUACGAAAGUGUGGGGAGCAAACAGGAUUAGAAACCCGUGUAGUCC
rnacentral:rRNA from 1 species